GACGGAGGAUGCAAGCGUUAUCCGGAAUGAUGGGGCGUAAAGCGUCCGCAGGUGGCAGUUCAAGUCUGCUGUCAAAGACCGGGGCUUAACUUCGGAAAGGCAGUGGAAACUGAACAGCUAGAGUAUGGUAGGGGCAGAGGGAAUUCCUGGUGUAGCGGUGAAAUGCGUAGAGAUCAGGAAGAACAUCGGUGGCGAAGGCGCUCUGCUGGACCAUAACUGACACUCAGGGACGAAAGCUAGGGGAGCGAAUGGG
rnacentral:rRNA from 1 species